UCCACUGGAUCUUCAGGAGCGGAGACAGUAGAGACAGAGAAUUGUACUGCUUUUAAAGAAUUUUGUAUUUCUAACCUUAUCAUCUCCUGCAUUGAAGAUAACGGAGAAGGCACUUCUGCUGACAAAACCUUAACUACACAGGAUGCACAAGUUUGCUUAUCAUCUCUUUGAGUGCACCCCCCAGGGGUAUGGUGAAGUCACUACCAUACAGUCAGUUCCUGAGAGUAAAGAGGAUUGUUGAGGACCCCAGUAUACUGUAGGAGAGACUGAGAGAUGUGCGGCAGAAGUUGACUCAGAGAGCUUACUCCAAGCAGUGUAUUUGGGACACAUAUGGAAUGGAUACUUACCUGGAACCCCAAGGGAAUCUCUACAACACGACUAAAUAAUCCGUUGAAAGUUCACUGACAUUGUAUCUGAAUACUAUGUGAUGUUUUUCUUGGAAUGCUGAGGACCAGUCUGUCGCACUUGAGCUUUACAUAGCCUGUUUAUAGACCUUAUGUUUAAGAAACUAUGAGAUUCAACAUGGAAUUUUGCAUGUUUUGUAACCAUAUGGUUGAAAAACGAACAUUGCGGACUAACA